GACAGAGGGUGCGACCGUUGCUCGGAAUCAUUGGGCGUAAAGCGCGUGUAGGCGGCAUCGCACGUCGGGUGUGAAAGCCCGGGGCUCAACCCCGGCAGUGCACCCGAAACGACGAUGCUAGAGUGCUGGAGAGGCGGGUGGAAUUCCUGGUGUAGAGGUGAAAUUCGUAGAUAUCAGGAGGAACACCGGUGGCGAAGGCGACCCGCUGGCCAGCGACUGACGCUGAGGUGCGAAAGCGUGGGGAGCAAACAGG
rnacentral:rRNA from 1 species